GUCUGUUUCUUUUCACACUCCACACUCAUCAUACUACUCUCUUUUACCCAUUUUUAGGCUGUCAAGCUUAUAUAAUUGCUCCACACGGUUUAUUCCUGUGAUUUGUCAUACUACCAGGUACGUACACCUGCUCAUAUGGUAUUCUACCAUACAUUUCAUCCCCCUAGUUUAGAGUACUGGCAAUAGGGUCACAGGAUUCCCAAUAGGUAUUUAC